UAACUCUGGUUAAGGAACUCUGCAAAUUGAUACCGUAACUUCGGAAGAAGGUAUGCCUUUUUUGGUCACUGGACUUGCUCCAGGAAGCUGAAGAGGGCCGCAGGUAAUCGGGGGCUGCGACUGUUUACCAAAAACACAGGACUCUGCGAACACGUAAGUGGAUGUAUAGGGUCUGACGCCUGCCCGGUGCUGGAAGGUUAAUUGAUGGGGUCAGCCGCAAGGCGAAGCUCUUGAUCGAAGCCCCAGUAAACGGCGGCCGUAACAAUAACGGUCCUAAGGUAGCGAAAUUCCUUGUCGGGUAAGUUCCGACCUGCACGAAUGGCGUAACGCUGGCCCCACUGUCUCGACCAGAGACUCAGUGAAGUUGAAAUCGCUGUGAGGAUGCGGCGUAGCUGCGGAAAGACGGAAAGACCCCGUGAACCUUUACUACAGCUUUACACUGAACUUUGAAUUUAUUUGUGUAGGAUAGGUGGGAGCCUUUGAAGCAGGGGCGCUAGCUCUUGUGGAGGCAACCUUGAAAUACCACCCUGAUAACUUCGGAGUUCUAACCUAGAUCCGUAAUCCGGAUUGGGAACACUGUAUGGUGGGUAGUUUGACUGGGGCGGUCUCCUCCCAAAGAGUAACGGAGGAGUGCAAAGGUACCCUCAGCGCGGUCGGUCAUCGCGCUUUUGAGUGCAAUGGCAUAAGGGUGCUUGACUGCGAGACGUACAUGUCGAGCAGGAACGAAAGUUGGUCAUAGUGAUCCGGUGGUUCUGUAUGGAAGGGCCAUCGCUCAACGGAUAAAAGGUACUCCGGGGAUAACAGGCUUAUUCCUCCCAAGAGUCCACAUCGACGGAGGAGUUUGGCACCUCGAUGUCGGCUCAUCACAUCCUGGGGCUGUAGCAGGUCCCAAGGGUUCGGCUGUUCGCCGAUUAAAGUGGUACGCGAGCUGGGUUCAAAACGUCGUGAGACAGUUUGGUCCCUAUCUUCCGUAGCCGUUGGAGAUUUGAGGGUGAGUUGCUCCUAGUACGAGAGGACCGGAGUGAAUGUAUCUCUGGUGUUCCGGUUGUCACGCCAGUGGCACUGCCGGGUAGCUAUAUACAGACGGGAUAACCGCUGAAAGCAUCUAAGCGGGAAGCCCCCCCCAAGACGAGAUCUCCCUGAGGACUUGAUCCUCCUAAAGGGCCCAAGAAGACUACUUGGUUGAUAGGCUGGGUGUGUACGCGUAGCAAUACGCUUAGCUAACCAGUACUAAUUGCCCGUGAGGCUUGACCG
rnacentral:rRNA from 1 species